GUGAGUGUUAUUAACCCUCUGUGGUCCACAGACACGCUGCACCUCCAAAUCACAUGACUAUUUUAAGCUGACAUAGCAACAAGCUGCAGCCACGCUGAGUCUCUAUUUCAGCCCACAUUGAAAGUUCGGACUUCAAAGUUUUUUAAUUUUAAUUACAGAAACUCUGGCUUGUCAGGGCCAAAGAUGCACGACUGUCUCCAUCCAGACUCAGAGCCCAGUGCAAGUCAUCAGGGGAGAAGGACAGCUACAAAUCACAGACAGCAUAUAAAACACAGAGCAGCCACCAAGAACGUGAGGAGGAUUGGCCUGAAAAACCAAGGGACGCUGCACUCUUAUUAGUUAAUAACUGAUCAGUCACAGUAAAACAGAUCCUGUUUUAUCUGUUUUUUUCCUGCAUACAAAUGAUUGUCGUGAUCCCUAACAGGGUUUGGCUUUCUUUGCAAAGGACAGAAAAAUAAAUAUUUUAUUACAAAGUGGGCUUUUAUUUACUCUGGCACAGAUUACUAACAUUAGAAUUUCCAUAUAUGUCCAACAAGGAGUCUGCCCUGGAGCAGACCCAGGACCCACUAGAGAUUUCAUCUCUUAGCUGGCAUGGGAACAGCCCCAAAAGACCUGGAGGAGCUGGGUAGAGAUGGGCCUUUCUGUUUAGACUGCUGCCCACAUGAUCCGGAAAAGUAUUAGAAAAUGAAUAAACAGAUGGAUGCUCACCCUACCAUCAUCGUGCUCAGGAAGUCUUUAAUGUUCUCAAGUGGACAGACUGAAACUACAUCUGUCUCUUAAUUAUGCAAGGACUCAUAAGAUUACACAUCCCCCUCCUACCUAAAGAGUGAGUGCUGAAAACCCCCCAAAUAAUCUUUACCUUU
ensembl:lncRNA